GACGUGGGGGGCGAGCGUUGUCCGGAAUUAUUGGGCGUAAAGGGCGUGUAGGCGGCCUGCCAAGUCGGCUGUGAAAUCCCUCGGCUCAACCGAGGGUCUGCAGUCGAAACUGGUAGGCUUGAGUGCAGAAGAGGAGGGUGGAAUUCCUGGUGUAGCGGUGAAAUGCGUAGAUAUCAGGAGGAACACCGGUGGCGAAGGCGACCUUCUGGUCUGUUACUGACGCUGAGGCGCGAAAGCUAGGGGAGCGAAC
rnacentral:rRNA from 1 species